UUUAUCUUCCCCUGCAGCAAUGGUCUGCACAUGGGGUCACUUGCAGGUUUAAACUAAUGUAAAUGGUGGAUUCUCUGUAACCUGAAAUCUUUAAGUCAUGAUUUGAUGACUACAGUAACUAAGACAGAGGUUAGGGGUCUAUUACACAAAUGGGUGUGUUAGGUUCUGUGGCUUGCAAUGUGCAGGGCAUCAGAUUAGAUGAUCAUGAUGGUCUCUUCUGGCUUUAAAGUCUAUGAGUCUACACCAGCUAAUGAUCUGCCCAAAGAAAUUAAACAAAGAAAACUACCUUAUGGUCCAGUGUCACAAAGUCAAGGCUGGCAAUUUAAUCUUAUGAAUAUAGAAAUUCAA